GACCGCUCUGGCCCAUUUUAAGCUUUGGACUGGGCCGCAUUAGGUGUUGGAAUGGGAGAGGACGGGGCCUUUCUUUUCGAGAGAGGGGAGGGUUUUGGGGCAGGUGUAGAGGCCGCCUGUGGUAGGCGUAGGUUACCUCAGGAGGGAGGAGGAGAGGAGGCGGGCGGGGGAGUUCGGGAGGGAGCAGCGCGGGAGGAGGAGGAGGAAGCGGGCAGCUGCGACGCGGAGGAAGCCGGGCUUCGAAGACAAAGCUGCGGAGGGGAGGGACGGCGGCGCGCGGGCGGCCACCUCGCACCGCGGCGCGCGACGCAGGCUCCGCAAGCUGCCUUAAGUCUCGGUCCUGUUCGGAGGGCCCCAGCCUCCGCCCCCGCGCGCGGCCUCUCGGAUGGCGCUCCUCGUUCCCCUCGGGCAGCGGGCGGGGAACCCACGACCUCGCCCCCCGUAGUGAGCGAUGUAGCAGGGCCGUCCCCGCAACGAGCGCGACUCGAAACAGUAAACCUUCCACCAACUCUUAAAGGAGGGGGAUUUCUCUUUCCUAGUCUUAAGACCUCUUGGAUACAGAAGACCCCAGUGCACCAGGAAACGACGGCCGAGGUUAAACAGUUGUAGAUGUUCGUAAUUUCGGGUUUUCCUCAGCUUCUUUUUAGAUUUGUUCAAAAUAUUCCUUGAAGCCUGUGACUUUUGGCAAUUGUACCGUCCGGCAGUUAAGCCCCUACUCCCUGAUAAGAAGGAUCGUCUUUCGAAUCGGAUAUUGUUCUCACGACUUCUCCACCUGAAAAGCCCAUUACGCUAUUGUCGACGCCCUUAUCUUCGAAAGCUACCGUAAGAGGUCUAUUUGUGUCGAAACUUCUGAGAGUUAAAUAGACCUUUAUAGUAACCUCUACUUCCUCGGUUCACAGAAAGUCUAUAUAACUAACUUUUGCAUCCAUAAGUCUUCGAGAAGGACUUGUCAUGUUUAUAGCCUCUACUCCCCCGUUUUCGUUAAAGUCUAGACGACUUUUUCUUGUUUUGUUAUGCAUAACAUGUCGAAUCGUUGUUAUGUUAUCUUAUGUCACCAAAACGUUCAUAACGUCUACGUGAAGAACUCUUAUUAUGCGAUGCCUCAAACAUAGAGUUACCGUUGAUACCACCAGGAGAGCCACGUAGGUCGGAUCGUUUUCCUCAACAUCCCUUGUUUAGAGAGUCCCUUGAAGUAAAUGUACCAUUGCCUAAACCCUUGCUCCCUAAUGCCCACAACUACAGACGUAAUAGACGAGUGUCUCCCUUCUAUUGUCAGAACCUAUAACCAUUGUUGUUGUAAUGUAGUCUUCCAAGAGAGAUACAUCGACUCAAGUAGUUUCACUGUUUCAGAGAUGCCACCGAGUCGGACAUGUACCUACUACAACCACUGCUCCCUCGACUUUUCCACCGUCUACGAGACUUUGUCUUGUUUUGUUAAAGAUGUUACCUGAAACCACCAUUAUUGUAAGUGAGAGCUCCCCAUUGACGUUAUCGACUUUGAAACUUCCUCUUACUUCACGAUUGUUGUGACCUCAACUCAAUAUUGGGUUAACCUGGUCUCCCCCAUUUCCGAAACACGCUACAAGAGUUCAAGUUGCCGUUUGAGGUUUGGGAAUUCGAACCAACCACGGUCUAUCCACACAGUCCACGUCUCAAGUAACGACUAACAAACUUCAUAUUGUGUUGUAACAGCUGUAACCUAAACGCCCGUUUACCUGAACCUCUACUACCACGAUAGACGAACCGCGCUUCAAACUUCUAUUAGUUACUUAGGAACUUUAGUGAACUGGAACCUAAAUUACUCUAAUCUCUACUACCUCGUAAACGUAACCGUGUUCGUGAGUUCCGGUUACUCCUAGAACGUCAGUGUAGUAAUUACGAGCGAUUGUUGAAGAAACCCUUUAAACCUGUCCAACGAGACUGGCUCCGUGCCCUAGUACAUAUGCUCUACUCACCUUUCCUUUAUCUGUAAAUAAUAAUCAUGUUAACCAAAGAGUAACGUGACAUCGAUGAUAGGCUACCAAGUCGAACAGCCACCUACCGGACGAAAGACGUAUCAACUGACAUUAACUCCGAAAACCCGUAAUGAGUUCAUCUAGUUUCCUUUACCCCCUUCUCGUACCGAAUACGAAACGAUACGUUUAAAACCAUUUGAUGAACUGACAUCAAAUUAGUAAGUCGACAUAUAUACGUUUAAAAGUCUCCGUGAACGGUAAGAAUAACCAACAUUACCUGGUAUAGGAAGUAAAGUCCAUACCUAAACCGAUUAAUCACUACUGAAAACGGUCGAAAAAAAGAAAUCAGACCAACAGUAAACAGUAUGUAUAUAUUGAAUAAAUAAAAACUUAGUAUGCUAGUGAAUGUAUGAUUCAUCUCAGUAGCAGUUCGGACUACUAAAACAGUACCCCAGUAGACCCUUUUUGCAAAGACGAGCACAUUCACAUAUGUGGGUAAGAGAUCUGGUAAGACACAACGUAAAUGUAAGUUGGGGUGUUAAAGGUGGCGUACUGGUACGUUUCAAAGUACACCAUGUAAAGCUAAAAUGUAAUAGUAGG
rnacentral:rRNA from 1 species